rnacentral:rRNA from 1 species
GAAGCAGCCCCGCGAGGGUGAGUAAACCACAGAAACGGCGUCCCAGUUCGGAUUGCAGCCUGCAACUCGGCUGCAUGAAGCUGGAAUCGCUAGUAAUCGCGGAUCAGAAUGCCGCGGUGAAUACGUUCCCGGGUCUUGUACACACCGCCCGUCACACCAUGGGAGUCGGGAAUGCCCGAAGUCAGUGACCCAACCGAAAGGGGGGAGCUGCCGAAGGCAGGCCUGGUAACUGGGGUGAAGUCGUAACAAGGUAAC